UUACGGCUAUAUCACUUUGAAACACCGGUUCUCGUACGAUCACCAAAGUUAAGCAACAUUAAUCUUGGUCAGUACCUAGAUGGGUGACCGUUUGAGAAUAACAGGUGCCGCAA